AGUGAACGCUGGCGGUAGGCCUAACACAUGCAAGUCGAACGGCAGCACAGUAAGAGCUUGCUCUUACGGGUGGCGAGUGGCGGACGGGUGAGGAAUACAUCGGAAUCUACUUUUUCGUGGGGGCUAACGUAGGGAAACUUACGCUAAUACCGCAUACGACCUCCGGGUGAAAGCAGGGGAUCUUCGAACCUUUCGCGAUUGAAUGAGCCGAUGUCGGAUUAGCUAGUUGGCGGGGUAAAGGCCCACCAAGGCGACGAUCCGUAGCUGGUCUGAGAGGAUGAGCAGCCACACUGGAACUGAGACACAGUCCAGACUCCUACGGGAGGCAGCAGUGGGGAAUAUUGGACAAUGGGCGCAAGCCUGAUCCAGCCAUACCGCGUGGGUGAAGAAGGCCUUCGGGUUGUAAAGCCCUUUUGUUGGGAAAGAAAAGCGGCAGGUUAAUACCCCGCUGUUCUGACGGUACCCAAAGAAUAAGCACCGGCUAACUUCGUG
rnacentral:rRNA from 1 species